rnacentral:rRNA from 1 species
UGGGGAAUAUUGGACAAUGGGCGCAAGCCUGAUCCAGCCAUGCCGCGUGAGUGAUGAAGGCCCUAGGGUUGUAAAGCUCUUUCACCGGUGAAGAUAAUGACGGUAACCGGAGAAGAAGCCCCGGCUAACUUCGUGCCAGCAGCCGCGGUAAUACGAAGGGGGCUAGCGUUGUUCGGAUUUACUGGGCGUAAAGCGCACGUAGGCGGACUUUUAAGUCAGGGGUGAAAUCCCGGGGCUCAACCCCGGAACUGCCUUUGAUACUGGAAGUAUUGAGUAUGGUAGAGGUGAGUGGAAUUCCGAGUGUAGAGGUGAAAUUCGUAGAUAUUCGGAGGAACAACAGUGGCGAAGGAGGCUCACUGGACGAUUACUGACGCUGAGGUGCGAAAGCGUGGGGAGCAAACAGG